rnacentral:lncRNA from 1 species
GGACAACCUGGUCAAAAAGGAUAUCCAGGAAAUCCAGGAUUUUUAGGAUUAUCAGGUGAAAAAGGAAUGAUGGGGAUGAUGGGCCAUCCGGGAAACACUGGCCCUCCCGGGCCUCCCGGGAACCCAGGCACCCCAGGACAGAGGGGUAGCUUUGGAAUUCCGGGAGCAAAGGGUGAGAAAGGGCCCCCAGGAGCCAAGGGGGAAAAAGGAGACAAAGGACCUCGGGGGCCUUCUCAAAUAUCCAAUUUACUGGGGGACAAAGGAGAACCAGGCCUCAAAGG